AGUGAACGCUGGCGGUAGGCCUAACACAUGCAAGUCGAACGGCAGCACAGUAAGAGCUUGCUCUUACGGGUGGCGAGUUGCGGACGGGGGAGGAAUACAUCGGAAUCUACUUUUUCGUGGGGGAUAACGUAGGGAAACUUACGCUAAUACCGCAUACGACCUACGGGUGAAAGCAGGGGAUCUUCGGACCUUGCGCGAUUUCAUGAGCCGAUGUCGGAUUAGCUAGUUGGCGGGGUAAAGGCCCACCAAGGCGACGAUCCGUAGCUGGUCUGAGAGGAUGAUGAGCCACACUGGAACUGAGACACGGUCCAGACACCGAGGGGAGGCAGAAGUGGGGAAUAGUGGACAAUGGGCGGAAGCCUGAUCAAGCCAUACCGCGUGGGUGAAGAAGGCCUGCGGGUUGGAAAGCCCUUUUGUUGGGAAAGAAAAGCAGCAGGUUAAGACCCGGCUGUGCUGACGGUACCAAAAGAAUAAGCACCGGCUAACUUCGUG
rnacentral:rRNA from 1 species